rnacentral:rRNA from 1 species
GAUGAACGCUGGCGGCGUGCCUAAUACAUGCAAGUCGAGCGAACAGAUAAGGAGCUUGCUCCUUUGACGUUAGCGGCGGACGGGUGAGUAACACGUGGGUAACCUACCUAUAAGACUGGAAUAACUCCGGGAAACCGGGGCUAAUGCCGGAUAACAUUUAGAACCGCAUGGUUCUAAAGUGAAAGAUGGUUUUGCUAUCACUUAUAGAUGGACCCGCGCCGUAUUAGCUAGUUGGUAAGGUAACGGCUUACCAAGGCAACGAUACGUAGCCGACCUGAGAGGGUGAUCGGCCACACUGGAACUGAGACACGGUCCAGACUCCUACGGGAGGCAGCAGUAGGGAAUCUUCCGCAAUGGGCGAAAGCCUGACGGAGCAACGCCGCGUGAGUGAUGAAGGUCUUCGGAUCGUAAAACUCUGUUAUUAGGGAAGAACAAAUGUGUAAGCAACUGUGCACGUCUUGACGGUACCUAAUCAGAAAGCCACGGCUAACUACGUG